UGGUUCAGGGUCUUAAAACAGUUGAAAUCAUUUCUGUUGCAAUUUGUGGUGGGUUAGGUCAGAAUCUUACCAGGAUGACUGGACUAUAAAGCAACCAAAUC